rnacentral:tRNA from 1 species
GGAGAUAUAGCUCAGUUGGUUAGAGCGCACGCCUGAUAAGCGUGAGGUCGGUGGUUCAAAUCCACCUAUCUCCACCA